CAUACCUGAUAAAGAUUCUCGCUGAAACGUAUAUACCAGCAGUGAGCCAAAGGCAUCAGCAUCAAGGUUGCGGUGGAUUUAUAAUGAAUCCAGUGGCUGAUGGUUGCAACGGUAUAACUGAUAAUUCAGGGUCCUCAAAUAGAUUGUCAAAGAAUACCAUUCAAAAUGCUGAGAGGGUUCAGCUUGGAAAUGGUAGCGAUCCUGAUGGGACGACUUUAGUUCGUUGUACUUCAUCAAUGAAACCUUAGAAGCAGAUCUCUUCAACUCAAGAGCUAUUUCAAGAACCAGCCUCAAAGCUAGCAGACAAAUGUCUCGGAUGAUAAAACACAAUGAAUCAAGUUGUAGAGAUGCGAAGGGGUUUGGCCGGUUACACGAGACAGUAGUCAGUAACUGCAAUAUUAGAGCCAAGGGUUUGCAAAUAUGGUGUCUUCCUUGCCUACAUUACUGACCUGUUUUUUAGCAAUAGCCAGUAGGCUAAUAGAGAGGCUUCAUCCAUGUACAUAGAAGAAGAUUUCGGCUUGGCAUUAAUUAGCUUAUAUUUUUAUGAUUGCAUCAUGCAUUUAACUUUUUCAAUCUUAAUGAAGAAUUUCAUCAAGAGAAAAA